GAGCUGAACAUCAAAAUGAACAGUAAAAUGGAUGGAAUUAACUACUGUAUAGUUUAUGUUAAAUAAUCAUUUCAGAUGUGAUACAAUUCCGUAUCAGCUAUUAAGACUGAAUGCACAACAUGACAAAAGCAUCGUUUUUUCGAAUUCUUUUAUCUCUCAUCAAAAUAUAUCGUCAUAUAGCAAUCGAUUGCAAGUUACUUCAUAACUGUGAAAGGGGGUAUUUAUUGACUUCUGUUAUCUUUUAACCCAUGAGAAUAAUUGCUUACGCGCGGAAUGCAGUUUUCCACUCAAAAUGUGGCGGCAAUGAACAACCUGGAGAUUACGGUGUCCCCCCCGCCUUUUACACAGUGAGCUAAUGUGCCCCAUCUGGACAUGCUGAAGAAUACCAUAACCACCAAGGAGUGGCUGCACUGCUUCUGUGCAAACUGAAUCAUCACCGUACUGCGAUCUGGCAACCCGGAGUGCCCAUCCUGCAAUAAGAAGCUGGUUUCAGCGCACGCUCUAUGGCAGGACCCCGACUUUGCUGCGCGCUGAGCGAGGAGGGAAUCAGGAGAGGCACCUGGCUCACGUCAGCAAGCACAGCAACCAGCUGCUCAGCUUCAGAUGUGGAGAGGAAAACAGAUUUGGUGGGGGCUGCGGGGGUCACGACUCAGAUUCGGUAUUAAACACAGAUGGCCGCCAUGAGGGUAGGAGCAGCAGGUGGAAGAUGGCAGUUGGUCUCUCUCCCAAGAUGGCCGCCAUGUGGGUAGGAGCAGCAGGUGGAAGAUGGCAGUUGGUCUCUCUCCCAAGAUGGCCGCCAUGUGGGUAGGAGCAGCAGGUGGAAGAUGGCAGUUGGUCUCUCUCCCAAGAUGGCCGCCAUGUGGGUAGGAGCAGCAGGUGGAAGAUGGCAGUUGGUCUCUCUCCCAAGAUGGCCGCCAUGAGGGUCGCAGCACCGACGAAGCCAGGCUGAGUAGCAAACGUGCCAAGACUUUGGAUGACCCGGGCUUGGAUGUGGACGCUGCUUUGAGGAUUGGAGCCGGCGAAAUAGAGGUUGGUCUCCGAACUCAUCCAUCACUGAUCGAAAAGGAUCGAGUGGCACAGACAAGGUGGGUAACUACCGCCUGGCUGAUGUUGCCUUUCCCACCAAAUUAAUUUUAGUAGUUAGUAACGAAGUAGGGUUGUCUUUGCGUCUUUGGUGUAAAUACGCAUAGUGAUGUGGUCCUUUGACUGUUUCAUUAUUCACUUCCGCGCCAAGAGAAUGGCACAAAACUGGCGCCAACCAAAGCUGAUGAACGAUCAGCUCCUGCCUCUUGCGAAAAUUUACACUGGAACAUGUCGAUACGACUAGAGAUGAUGGUUGACAUGUAUCCCGAUCAGAGAGCUCAGUUUCACCAGCUAGCUUUGACACCGAUUCAACAUGCUCAUUCAGCCAAAACGGCGCCAACGGGUACCAACCGAGCCCAACUGUGCCACACACACGGGCCCUACGGGCAGUUCCCGACUCUCUCUGACGGCCUGAUGGCUUCCGAUGGCUGAAAAAGUGGCCUGCUGUGUUCCAGGCUUUAGUUACUUAUUAGUUGCGUAUUUCUUAGAAAUAGGAAUCUUACAACUUUUACAGCACUCUCACGAGUACCAGGUUCUGACCACCAGGUGGCAGAAUUCAGCUUUAAAAGUAUUGCACAGUUCCGCCCGUCCGUGAGCGCCUGGCGAAUCGGCGCCACCUUUAUGUAAAUCGCCGGCCCAUGAUCUCCGUCUUCACUGGGGGACGAUUCUGACUAAAAAAACAUGUGCAGGUGAUUUGGAUAGGAAAAUGAGUCCCUCUGUGGAGCUUGUGCAGUGAUAUCACCUGGGAUGUUUAUUCGUCCCUGUGGCCAGUGCUGUGCUUAAUUACUGAACCGUUUAACGGGUUCCUGCAUCAUGUAUAACUGGUCGCCCAGUCACUGGGACGCUUCAGUUGCCAUUAUCUUUGCAUAUCUAGUCAUUCUGCUCUGCUUAAUAGCAUUGUUAGUUCAGAGGUAGACUGUGAGUAAAUUAAUUUUGCUGGGGUGGGUGAAGUUUACAAAAUAUGUCCCCCCUCAUCCCCCCCCCCCCAGAAGAUACUGAACAGAGUAGGAGUAAAAGUGCACUGGCUUCUGCCAACUGCGCUUGCCAGUUAGGCACUGGAUGGUAACGGCGGGUUGUUAAUCGUCAGAAAGACAGAUGGUGCUGUACUUGCACUCCGGUUGUAUCCCAGUGACAGGACUGUUCAGGCUUUUUUUUGUUGAGUAAGGAAAUUGGACCAUGAUAGGAACUUAGCGGUUGUUAAGAAAUGUCACUUGGAGCGGACCGGGGCUCUGUAUUUCAGGGACGGUGGGCGGUGCUGAUGCUGGUGUGAGUCCUGUAGCGAAUUAGCCGGCCUUGUGCUGCCCUAAGCGCUCCCAUGGAGACGCCUGACAGGACGGCGUUUGCGAGUCACUGGGACCCUCAGCUUUUCAUCCUUUCCUAAGCUGCCAGGCCUCUUUGAUGCAGGAAAUUUCCCAUGAAAGCUUCCUGUUCUGACCAGCUGUGGCUGGAAGGAGAGACCUUCGUCCCCUUUGCUGCUUUCGUUCUGAAAGCUUCCCUCACGCCCGAGUACCCCUCGACGGGAAGGGACUGCUGCCACACUGGCCUCUGACGUCACACCUGCGUCAACGGCCGAGCGCCACUGAAAACCUUCUCGUUGAAAAUAGCCAGAGAACCAUUGAACUGAGUCACGGUUAACGUGGCCAGCGAGCUAAAUGAGCCCAAAUUAGCUGUAAGCUUUUGUAAUCAUGUGAUGCGUAUUGCAUUAUUCAGUUGUAAUUCAAACAACUCCACAUUUUCAGUUUUACUAUGACUGACGUUUUAAUUAAAUACUUGGCAGAUGAGUAUUUAGCCUCUUAUUGGUAAUUGUUUGCUUUGCGUGAUAUUUAUCGAGAUUUUCGCAACGACGACGCAGCAGAUCUCGGCUUGCGACGGAGCAGAGCAAUCAGCAGUCCUUGUGUCGCGCCAGACAAACAGUCGGCAUCGCCGUGUGGUCCAGCAGCCGUGGGUCACCUCGGCGGCCCCACAGAGCCCCUGCCCAGGCUGUUCCCUAGGCAACAGUGAGCGCACGGCAACAACGUCAGCCACCGCUUUGACGGAAGCAGCCCUUCUUCCUACGUGCCUGUCGCCUCUCUCUUGCAGGAAAUGGGGCGUCUUUCUCUUGAAGGACGUCUUCAAGCCUUUAAGCUACGACCACCUUUGCGCUGUGGAUAAAUGCAGAAAACACAGCACUCACCGCGUAUCCGCGGGUGAUAUGUUCCAAGAACUACCACGAAUGGCCGAAAUUGUGGAUAAUAGCGAUUGAUUGAUAGAUUAUGUACACUUAGACAUUACCAACAUUAAACACAGUAAUAAUAAAGUAUAUUAUAUCGUACUCUCUCAAAUGAAAGGGAUUCUGACAUUUUAGCUUUAUUCUCAAAAGAUAAUAGAGUAAUGGAAAAAUGCUUAUCAAUGGGUGAAGAAUUGAAAAUCAUGCUUUUUACAUCCCUCAAAGGAUGAUGGGACAAUAAAAAAUGUUUAUACGUUUUUAUAAUGAAAAAUAUUGAAUCAUGUGCUUGUACAUAAUCUGUAAUGGCGAACUGGCAUAUGUAACCAUGUAGCAGUCUGUAUUCGCUUGGCUCGAAAACUUGGAUUGAACCACAGAUAAUUUGAUCAUACAACUGCACCCCCUAUUGGUCAGAUGAUUUUUUUUUAACAAGUUAUGUUGUAUAUCUAUCUAUCUAUCUAUCUAUCUCUGUCUGUCUGUCUGUCUGUCUGUCUGUCUGUCUAGACUGGUUGCCUUUGGGUCCAUAUUGAAAAGUCUGCUCUGUUAGGGUGUCUUGGAUGUUUUCCGCUAGUAGGGAAAAUUGGUCUUAUCAGAUGGCUGACAUCCUGCGAGAAUAAGUGUGGUGUUUUCGCGAGCACAUGCUACAUAAAUCUUCUCUGUAAAGUGCCGGGAAACAGCUGUUCGGUACCUCACUGAUUUCUUAAAGCGUAAACAAGUUUUUACUGCUGCCCUGCUUCAGCAGCCAACAGAUCGGGUAACACUGAAAAACACUGUUCGGUGGCAAUGCAAGGGUUGCCAGAUCAUCAUCGGGGAAGUGAGUUUCUUGCUGAAAACGGAAUGUUCGUUUCCAAGUAGUCACCGGAGAGCUCCCGUGGAAUUCUGGGAAAGCAAGACGGGUGGCACUUUCGACGUCUGAAGGGCGGCAUGCCGUGCGGGCGGCUCUCUGAAGAGCUAGGUAGGUUCUGACAGGCUGUGAGGUCGCCUGGGCCAGCUGCCGUUGUUCCCGGAGCUGUGGGCUUCUGGUAUAAUGUAUAAUUCUGCCAGUUCUGACUGUCACAUGGUGCUCCGCUGGUUGGGAAAGUCUUCCAGACUAGCUUCUGAAGUGGGUGUGAUGCUCCGUAUGCCACAACAAUACUGAGGGCUGCGCCUCUGACCAGCCUCCUCCGAAAAAGUGUUAUAUUCCUCUAUUGUUCUAAGACUCAUCCCUUUCAGCCUUGAUUCUAAGAGCCUAAGAAUUCUUAUUUGGGUGGGCAUGUGGAACAUGCAUGUAAGCCAAAGUGAUCCUUUCUGUAAUUGCAGGCCGUCUGUCAAGUGUAUCUAAAAUCGAGCUCAAAACGUUUCUUUGUAACUUAGCAUUAGAGAGAGGCUGUGUGCAUACAUUGUUUUUGCGUAUUUGCGCUAUGCCGCACUUAAUCUUUUGUGUGCUAAAAGGGGUUUAAUUGCGCCUUGAUAAAAUGCACUUCAGUCUGCUGUUACAUUGUCCAAGCAGCAAUAUUUCCCUCCUUUAAUUCUGACCUCCAGGAUCCAGAUACACGUUUAUGUUUAAUCAGUAAAGCAUUUGAUUUUUUUUUGCAGGCCAGAGAUAACCAUUACUUUGAAAACUUUACCUUGUGAGAAAGGUCAGUAACACUUUCCAAGGUAAGACUUCUGUUUCUUCUUGUUUUUUGAAAGACUGAACUGUGCUGUGAAUUGCAUGCCCUGUUGCGCUCAUCGAACCACUAUUGUUACACCUCCAUAAAAUUCAGUCAGGUCAGCACAGUGUUUCAUGAAUGUUCUGGAGACCUUGGACUAAUAUUGUGGGCCUUGGUGUGUGUCACAUGUUGUGGUUCUGCACCUUGAACUUAGAAGACCCGUCUUGAGCGAAAAUCUUUUCCAUCAACUUCCCAGGUACCUCAGGUACGUUUUCUGGAGUUGCGGGUCGUGGGCGAGGUGGGUGUUUUCGGUGGGUUUACAACCCGGUGGACCUGUGAUAGACUUCAACUUGUAACCAGUGAGGUGCAGAGUAGCAGUUCCGCCCCUCUUCCGAUUCGCUCACAACUAGCGAGCUUGUAGCCAAUGCCGUGAAUGUUGGCUGUAGGGGUUGUUUCUGGAAAUGUU